rnacentral:rRNA from 1 species
UACGGUAGGGGGCUAGCGUUGUCCGGAAUCAUUGGGCGUAAAGCGCGUGUAGGCGGCCCGAUAAGUCCGCUGUGAAAGUCCAGGGCUCAACCCUGGGAUGCCGGUGGAUACUGUCGGGCUCGAGUCCGGAAGAGGCGAGUGGAAUUCCUGGUGUAGCGGUGAAAUGCGCAGAUAUCAGGAAGAACACCCGUGGCGAAGGCGGCUCCUCUGGGACGGUACUGACGCUGAGACGCGAAAGCGUGGGGAGCGAACAGG